rnacentral:rRNA from 1 species
CCUACGGGCGGCAGCAGUGGGGAAUAUUGGACAAUGGGCGAAAGCCUGAUCCAGCCAUGCCGCGUGUGUGAAGAAGGCCUUCGGGUUGUAAAGCACUUUCAGUGGGGAAGAAAGCCUUGGGGCUAAUACCCUCGAGGAAGGACAUCACCCACAGAAGAAGCACCGGCUAACUCCGUGCCAGCAGCCGCGGUAAUACGGAGGGUGCGAGCGUUAAUCGGAAUUACUGGGCGUAAAGCGCGCGUAGGCGGUCUGAUAAGCCGGUUGUGAAAGCCCCGGGCUCAACCUGGGAACGGCAUCCGGGACUGUCAGGCGAGAGUGCAGGAGAGGAAGGUAGAAUUCCCGGUGUAGCGGUGAAAUGCGUAGAGAUCGGGAGGAAUACCAGUGGCGAAGGCGGCCUUCUGGACUGACACUGACGCUGAGGUGCGAAAGCGUGGGUAGCAAACAGGAUUAGAUACCCCGGUAGUC